GGGACACGUGGUAUCCUGUCUGAAUAUGGGGGGACCAUCCUCCAAGGCUAAAUACUCCUGACUGACCGAUAGUGAACCAGUACCGUGAGGGAAAGGCGAAAAGAACCCCGGCGAGGGGAGUGAAAAAGAACCUGAAACCGUGUACGUACAAGCAGUGGGAGCACGCUUAGGCGUGUGACUGCGUACCUUUUGUAUAAUGGGUCAGCGACUUAUAUUCUGUAGCAAGGUUAACCGAAUAGGGGAGCCGAAGGGAAACCGAGUCUUAACUGGGCGUUAAGUUGCAGGGUAUAGACCCGAAACCCGGUGAUCUAGCCAUGGGCAGGUUGAAGGUUGGGUAACACUAACUGGAGGACCGAACCGACUAAUGUUGAAAAAUUAGCGGAUGACUUGUGGCUGGGGGUGAAAGGCCAAUCAAACCGGGAGAUAGCUGGUUCUCCCCGAAAGCUAUUUAGGUAGCGCCUCGUGAACUCAUCUCCGGGGGUAGAGCACUGUUUCGGCAAGGGGGUCAUCCCGACUUACCAACCCGAUGCAAACUGCGAAUACCGGAGAAUGUUAUCACGGGAGACACACGGCGGGUGCUAACGUCCGUCGUGAAGAGGGAAACAACCCAGACCGCCAGCUAAGGUCCCAAAGUCAUGGUUAAGUGGGAAACGAUGUGGGAAGGCCCAGACAGCCAGGAUGUUGGCUUAGAAGCAGCCAUCAUUUAAAGAAAGCGUAAUAGCUCACUGGUCGAGUCGGCCUGCGCGGAAGAUGUAACGGGGCUAAACCAUGCACCGAAGCUGCGGCAGCGACGCUUAUGCGUUGUUGGGUAGGGGAGCGUUCUGUAAGCCUGUGAAGGUGUACUGUGAGGUAUGCUGGAGGUAUCAGAAGUGCGAAUGCUGACAUAAGUAACGAUAAAGCGGGUGAAAAGCCCGCUCGCCGGAAGACCAAGGGUUCCUGUCCAACGUUAAUCGGGGCAGGGUGAGUCGACCCCUA
rnacentral:rRNA from 1 species